rnacentral:rRNA from 1 species
CACAUGCAGUCGAACGGGCUAGCAAUAGUCAGUGGCGCACGGGUGCGUAACACGUAGGUAAUCAACCCCUUGGUUCGGGAUAACGUUCUGAAAGGAGCGCUAAUACCGGACGCGUCUUCGGGAGCUUCGGCUCCUGUCGAGAAAGACCCGCAAGGGUUGCCGAGGGACGAGCCUGCGGCCCAUCAGCUAGUUGGCGAGGUAAUAGCUCACCAAGGCGAAGACGGGUAGCUGGUCUGAGAGGAUGAUCAGUCACACUGGAACUGAGACACGGUCCAGACUCCUACGGGAGGCAGCAGUGGGGAAUAUUGCGCAAUGGGCGAAAGCCUGACGCAGCCACGCCGCGUGAGCGAUGAAGGCCUUCGGGUCGUAAAGCUCUGUGGGGAGAGACGAAGAAAGCCUGUGAAGAGCAGGCCUUGACGGUAUCUCCUUAGCAAGCACCGGCUAACUCCGUGCCAGCAGCCGCGGUAAUACGGAGGGUGCGAACGUUGCUCGGAAUCAUUGGGCGUAAAGCGCACGUAGGCGGCGGCGUAAGCGGGAUGUGAAAGCCCAGGGCUCAACCCUGGAAGUGCAUCCCGAACUGUGUCGCUUGAAUCUCGGAGGGGGACAGAGAAUUCCCGGUGUAGAGGUGAAAUUCGUAGAUA